UGCAGUUUGGGUAGGUGCACCUCCUGUCCUGGUGCUGACAUCUGGAUGAUUUAUGAACAUCAUUACCCUUUCACUGGACUCUUGCUCUUUGGAGUCUUCAGAGCUGCCUGGGCCUAGCGCCCAAGAAGUUCGCUCCUUGCGUCAAUGGCAAUGCUAGACAUAUUCUACUGGCUGUGGCCCAGAGGUACUCCUGGUGCCUGUGUGGGAAGGGCCACGAUGGGAAGAACGCUCCUUGAUUGCUCUCAUUCUCUGAGCUUUUUAUUUUUUAUAGGCUGGAUGUGGAACUGCAAGAGCAGAGAGGAGGAGAAGUCUCACCAUGAAGACAAAAGAAGUCCUGAGCCUUGGAUUUUCUUCCUCUAGGUCUGUUUUGUGGACCCACAGACUCGUAGAAGUUCUCUGAGGGCUGCCUGCUCCCCAUCUGCCCCAGAUGGAUCCCUUAAGGAUAUGGGUGGAGGCGGCUGUGCCUAGAAACAGGCGACUGGCCCAUACUGGAGAGGAUUCUGGACGCCAUCCGAGUCCUGGAGGAUUCACUGCAGUGCUCUGUGGCCUUGGAGCAAGGCCAGCUCAGAAAGUUUCCCAAGCCCAAAUUAGCCACAGCCUGAGAUCCACUCAUGGUAACUAUAUUAUGGUCUUUCUCUUUUCUGGGUUGUAAUGAGUUCUGGUAGUUUGGCCACCGGAUGGUGUCCUCUGGGUACCCAGAGUGAUUAGUCAAUUCUCCUAGUCGCCAUGGUUGUCCCUAGGAAAAUCCGCAGUCAUGGGGAGCCACCUGUGUGGAACAUGGUAGGGGACAUGAAAGAUUCCUCCACCUAAAAAUAUCACUUGCUUGCUUGUCAUGUGGCCCACGGUUCCACCACUGGUUAUUCACUCUUUCACUUAGCACUGCCUCAUCUUCUAUGUCUUUUUAACAAAAAUCUGAGAAGGUAAACUGUUAAGUCAUCAACAUCCAUCAGUUCUUUCGCUGACCAGGGAAGGUGUCUUGGCUAAAGAAGGCCCCCGACGUGGGGGUGAGGAAUAGAGAAAAGCAGGAAAAGGAGAGGCAGGAGACACCACAGACAGAACUCACUCCCUUCACUCCCUUGCCCGGGGCCAGCUCUGAUUUUGACCUCCAGAUGCUUCCUACUUUCUCUGGCUCCUAAUCAAAGUUGGUGGUGAUGUAAGGAACUGGAGUAACACCAGAUUCCAGACUCUGGGUGGAGUUUACAGUAACGAUAUGAGUAAUACCUGAAGCUUGCAUGUGCCUCUCUGUCGCGCAGUCAGUAGGAAUCGCUUAAAAAUCAGGUGUGCCUCUUCUAGGGUGGGACAGGAAUGAGCUUAAUACACAAAGUAUAGGAUUUUUGAACAGGACAGAAAUGAAUGACACACUUUGGUAAAGAGACGCCCACCACAGGCCUUUGAAAUGGUGCCCUGCUGCUGUCAAAACAGCAUCUCACGUUGUCUUAACUGUAUCUUAACAACUACCAUGUCAGGAAGGAAGAAAAAUAUUCUCCUCACGGCAUAAAGAUCACUGAGAAACUUGUCAAAAAUGCACAUUUCUGAGCUCCAAACUGGGGAUUCUCAUGCAUUGGGUUUGGGGUGUGGCCUCGGAAUCUGAACCUUUUUAUGGAGGGAGUGGGUGAGCCACAUUUUGAAAAGCACUGAUUCCUUCAUAAUAGAGUUUUGGUCUAUGAUAGGGUGGAAACUGAGACUUAUUCCCGUCAGUGUCCUUCUCAGUGCUUAGCCUAGUGCUUUGCACAUAUUUUGUUCUUUACAAAUGUUGGCAAAAGUUUAAUGGUCAGGGAAAUAUUCACAGAAGUAGCAUCUGAACAGGGUCUCUAAAUGAGAAAAGGCCUGGGGUGGAAGGCAUUCCAGAAGGAAGAAAUAUCAAAAGCAAAGGCAUGGACGUGGGGUUCUUCCAGAUAGGAGAGCCUUAUUCUUUGAUGGAGCACAGAGUCUGUAUCAGGAAGAAGGAAGAGAUGUGAUCACAAAAACACAUUAAGAUCAUGCUGUGCAGUACCUUGAACAUAGAGAUUUGUGCAGUCCAGAAGCAAUGGGGACAUGCUGAAUAUCCAUGGCUCUGUGUGUUGAGGGUACAAGGAAGGCUGGGAUUAAUUUACAAACUAUGAAACCACCUUCUUAAUGCCAGAGCAAAGCCAUUUGGGAGGCGUUUGUGUAGGCUCCAAGCAUCUCCAAAGCCUGGGCAUUUCC
ensembl:lncRNA